AUUUGUUGUGGUUCCUCUAUUUCAGAAACUAUGUGCUAAAGUGCGUCCAAUGGAAUUUCCCCCGAAAUAGACGUCAUAGUCGAAAAAUGCCCAUUUAGUACAUUCCCCCAUAGCUCUAUGCACUCCCCCACUACCACUCGACCCACCCCUAGAUGGACCCUCCCACUUUAUAGAAGCUCGGUCCACCGGUGUCGGCCAUUUCAUUCUUGCAUGCCUUGGAAACACUUGGAUUAGCUAACUAGCAGCAUGAAUCGGUGGUCGGCUGCAAACAUGUCUUCAUGUGACUCCAGCUUCAGAAGACACAAGAUUGAGAUGGAUUGAGUUCAUAUAUGAUGGCAACGUUCCUGCCACCACUUUGAAUCGGACUGUUUUAUCAACCUGGGCCAAUAUAACGCUGGAUUCUCUAAAAGGUUGUUAUUGAAAGAGGGGUCGGUGCCAUCUUUCCAUCGCAAUACUGAAGACGAGGGAAAUGAACGUAUUUUUUUUUUUAUAAUUCUGGCACACAGAAAACUGUGCUGCACUGAUGUCGGUGUUGGGACCUCAGCUGUAAGAGACCUUGCUUGGAGGAGGGAGAGGACAAGAUGUGACAUUACAUGGAUAACCUGUUGGACCUCAUCUUUCACGAGGUUUUUCAGGACCCGGCCCCAUAUGUGAAUGAGGUGCUGAAGAUCUCAAAACCUGAGGAUCUCUAUGCCUUGUAUGAGAAACCUGACAAGCAGGAAGUUAUAGCCAGCUAUGUGUCGAGUUUCAAUCAAGGGCAGGUCUGAACCCUGUAUAACUUCCCUGAGCAUCAGGGAACACUCUGCGUAUCUGGAGCACCGAGCAGGAGGGCAGGACCACCCUGAUUCUCCGGCCCAGAGGGCCUCAACACCAGCUCACAAAGCUUCUGUAUGCCAAAUACCUGUAACGGCUGAGCAAAGUUCACAUUGUAUUUAGAGAAUAAAAGGUGACACACAAAUAUAAAGUGUUCCUUUGUUUACAGUAUAGCUACUGAUGGCACAAAUUGUAUUUUUGUAAUGAAUGUAUUUAUUAUACUUGGUAUUUUUUGUAUUUAUUACCUCUGUCCCAGCCAGUACAUUUAAUAACUAUGAUUAAAAAGCUCUGUGGCAAUCUUUCUGACAAUAAAAGUUUAUAGAAACAGUUGUGUGCUUUUAAUGUUUGAUAUGUAACAUGUCAACAAUUGACACGUGCAAGAUGAGCAGUUAGCAAAGUAAUACAGAGGGAAGAGUAAUUUAUGUAAUUUAUUCCUCAGUCAAAAUUUUAUUGCAGAAAUGACGACCCCUGUCGACCAAGGCAGCCCGACCAACCUCCGGACAGGGUCUUUGGUGAGGGGGGUCUCGCACCCCCCUCACACAGGGGGUAUGCGAGCUAGCGAGCGACAGAGAGAGAGAGAGGUGCGCCGUGCGUACAGGCACACGUUGCGCCAACCGCCGCUGCUCAAGUAACGAGACAGUUUUGAGAAUGUAAGAAGUAGAAAGUAAAGAUAUCUGUGUUCAAAUGUAGCGAGUAAAAGUAAAAAGUCGUCAGGAAAAUAAAUACUCAAGUAAAGUACAGACAGUGGUGGGAGGUAACGAAGUACAAAUACUUCUUUCCUGUACUUAAGUAGAUUUUUCACAUAUCUGUACUUUACUUGAGUAUUUAUUUUCCUGACGAAUUUUUAGUCGGAGCUCGGUUCAGUUCAGUCUUUAUUAUUCGGUCUGAAAUUUGGCAGCAAAACGAGACUGUGUCCAGUGAGUUUUUCUUAUUUGUACUAGCAAAGUGCAGCUGUUAACAAAAGAGGAACUAUCUUAUUUUGUGUGCCUAGAACUUGUUUCCGGUUUAUCAGAAGGGGCAUUGUGUAUCACUCCUGCUACUGAUGAUAGGUCCAGGUUUAGUGAUAUUUACAGAAUGUUUCAGUGGUUAUACUGUGGUUUAUUAAUGUUCUUAGACAGACACAAGAGGCACUUGUUUAUUCUGUUGUGUUGAUUCUUUGUUGUCUCUAGAAGUUCAGAUGCACUGGUCCAUUAAUAUUUGAACCUCAGUAUCUAGGGUUAAAAAUUUGUAAAAUUAUAGAUUAUAUGCAUAUUGUUAUAAUUGUUCAGUCUGUCUGUUGAAAUAAAUCUU